AUUGAACGCUGGCGGCAGGCCUAACACAUGCAAGUCGAGCGGAGCGGCGGACGGGUGAGUACUGCCUAGGAAUCUGCCUGUGAGUGGGGGAUAACGUCCGGAAACGGGCGCUAAUACCGCAUACUAUCAGAUCAGCAUAGGUCGGAUUAGCUAGUGGGUGGGGUAAAGGCCUACCAAGGCGACGAUCCGGAACUGGUCUGAGAGGAGGAUCAGUCACACUGGAACUGAGGAACGGUCCAGACUCCUAAGGGAGGCAGCAGUGGGGAAUAGUGGACAAUGGGCGAAAGCCUGAUCCAGCCAUGCCGCGUGUGUGAAGAAGGUCUUCGGAUUGUAAAGCACUUUAAGUUGGGAGGCGGUACCAACAGAAUACGCACAGGCUAACUACGUGCCAGCAGCCGCGGUAAUAC
rnacentral:rRNA from 1 species